ACUGUAGUCAGGUCUAUACAUUCCUCUGUUCUACUGUAGUCAGGUCUAUACAUUCCUCUGUUCUACUGUAGUCAGGUCUAUACAUUCCUCUGUUCUACUGUAGUCAGGUCUAUACAUUCCUCUGUUCUACUGUAGUCAGGUCUAUACAUUCCUCUGUAGUCAGGUCUAUACAUUCCUCUGUUCUACUGUAGUCAGGUCUAUACAUUCCUCUGUUCUACUGUAGUCAGGUCUAUACAUUCCUCUGUUCUACUGUAGUCAGGUCUAUACAUUCCUCUGUUCUACUGUAGUCAGGUCUAUACAUUCCUCUGUAGUCAGGUCUAUACAUUCCUCUGUUCUACUGUAGUCAGGUCUAUACAUUCCUCUGUAGUCAGGUCUAUACAUUCCUCUGUUCUACUGUAGUCAGGUCUAUACAUUCCUCUGUAGUCAGGUCUAUACAUUCCUCUGUUCUACUGUAGUCAGGUCUAUACAUUCCUCUGUUCUACUGUAGUCAGGUCUAUACAUUCC